AGCCAUGCGAGUCAUUGUAGCAAUACAAGGCAGACGGCUCAGUAACGCGUAGUCAAUCUACCCUGUUGACGGGGAUAACCUCGGGAAACUGAGAAUAAUACCCGAUAGAACAUUAUGCCUGGAAUGGUUUAUGUUCCAAAUGAUUUAUCGCAAUAGGAUGGGACUGCGGCCUAUCAGUUUGUUGGUGAGGUAAUGGCCCACCAAGACUAUUACAGGUACGGGCUCUGAGAGGAGUGGCCCGGAGAUGGGUACUGAGACACGGACCCAGGCCCUAUGGGGCGCAGCAGGCGAGAAAACUUUGCAAUGUGCGAAAGCACGACAAGGUUAAUCCGAGUGGUUUCUGCUAAAGAAACCUUUUGUCAGUCCUAGAAACACUGAUGAAUAAGGGGUGGGCAAGUUCUGGUGUCAGCCGCCGCGGUAAAACCAGCACCUCAAGUGGUCAGGAUGAUUAUUGGGCCUAAAGCAUCCGUAGCUUGUUUUGUAAGUUUUCGGUUAAAUCCAUACGCUUAACGUAUGGGCUGCCGGGAAUACUGCAUAACUAGGAAGUGGGAGAGGUAGACGGUACUCGGUAGGAAGGGGUAAAAUCCUUUGAUCUAUUGAUGACCACCUGUGGCGAAGGCGGUCUACCAGAACACGUUCGACGGUGAGGGAUGAAAGCUGGGGGAGCAAACCGGAUUAGAUACCCGGGUAGUCCCAGCUGUAAACUAUGCAAACUCAGUGAUGCAUUGGCUUGUGGCCAAUGCAGUGCUGCAGGGAAGCCGUUAAGUUUGCCGCCUGGGAAGUACGUACGCAAGUAUGAAACUUAAAGGAAUUGGCGGGGGAGCACCACAAGGGGUGAAGCCUGCGGUUCAAUUGGAGUC
rnacentral:rRNA from 1 species